rnacentral:lncRNA from 1 species
UAUUGUAUUAAACACAUUCUAAUUAAUGAAAUGUUACAAUUUUACCUCUUUUAAAAAAAUUGUGGCCUUUCAUUAUACAUAGCCACACGCUUCUUUACUGGCUUGAAAAAUCAUUUUGCAAUUAAACAAAAGGAUAAUGCUAAAACUUACGAAGAAAUUGCAACAAGAAAGUGAAGAAAAUGAGGUGUCAUGUUGUAAUUGGAUGACCCAUUUUAAUAACCACUCACCCCUGUUUUGUUAUUAAAUUCCCACGGCCACAUAACCACCCAACCAUGUAUAACAAUUACUAUUAGAUUGCCAUGUGUAUUUGCAUUUCGUUGUUGCUUUUAUCGUAAGAAAUAUCAAUGCUCUAAACAAAUAUAUGGUGGAGUUGCUUGAUUGCUUAUUGUCAAUUUUAUGUUACUGGAAACUAUACUAAAACUAAUAAUUUCAACCAAGCAUUUUUACACAUAAACAGCAGAUAUGUAAAUGAGUAUAAGUCCCACACUGGAGAAUUUUAAAAGGAUUGUUUAUCUUUUGUAUAUAAAUAGAUAGCUUUCAAUAGUUACCUAGCAUGUGCCAGAGUGGCCCAAUUGAAUAUGCCAUAGUUUGUGCAAAACAUUUAAUGAUUUUAAUUUAUUAAAUUGAAAAUUCAAGUAAAAAUAAAAUUGGUUGAAUUCGGAGAA